GAUGUCGGAAAAUGACAAAUGAGCGUGUGCCGCUUUGUUAUUAGAAAAAGUAAUGACCAUUUACAUCGUGCUGUGCUGUGCUCAGUCACUCAGUUGCGUUGGACUCUUUGCAAUCCCAUGGACUGUAGCCCACCAGGCUCCUCUGUCCGUGGGGAUUCUCCAGGCAAGAAUACUAGAGUGGGCUGCCAUGCCCUCCUCCAGGAGAUCUUCCUGACCCAGGGAUCAAAUCCAGGUCUCCCACAUUGCAGGCAGAUUCUUUACCCUCUGAGCCACCAGGGACAACCAUUUACAUUAGCAUUAUGUAAUUAACUACAUAUACUAUAUGGUUGCAUGGCAUGAUUUAUAACUAUAAAGAGACAGUGUCCCUUUAAGAGAAAAUGAGUAUGUAUCAGAAAGCAUCUUCAUUCUGAUUCAAGUGAUUCAGUGGGCCUAUACCACGCCCUCCCUGUGACUGGCUAUCGUCACCCCACUGGUCUGGUCUGGUGUGCCCCACCAGAAAAAAAGCCAAUACAGGGUAAUCUGGACACUCAGAACAGAAGAGGAAGCCACCGUAUGGACAAACGACAGUCUAACAAUUCAUCCACUGAAAGAUACUGGGUGGUUGAGUUUUUGACAGUUAUGGGGAGAGCUGCUGCAAUCAUUUGUGUGUAGCUUCUUGCAUGAACAAUGAAGGCCCCAUGGGAGCAAGAAUUUUUGUCUCUUCUGUUCAUCGAUAUAUAUAUAUAUAUAUAUACCCAGUGCCUAGCAUCAUGCCUGCCUCGAUAAAUAUUUGUUGGAUGAGUGCAUUGAUUCAUCUGGCAGAGAAUAAAUUAUUUGUUAAUGA